rnacentral:rRNA from 1 species
GACGAACGCUGGCGGCGUGCUUAACACAUGCAAGUCGAACGGAAAGGCCCUGCUUGCAGGGUGCUCGAGUGGCGAACGGGUGAGUAACACGUGGGUGAUCUGCCCCUUACUUUGGGAUAAGCCUGGGAAACUGGGUCUAAUACUGGAUAGGACCCUGCUGUAGGUGGUGUGGUGGAAAGAUUAGUUUCGGUAAGGGGUGAGCUCGCGGCCUAUCAGCUUGUUGGUGGGGUAAUGGCCUACCAAGGCGUCGACGGGUAGCCGGCCUGAGAGGGUGGACGGCCACAUUGGGACUGAGAUACGGCCCAGACUCCUACGGGAGGCAGCAGUGGGGAAUAUUGCACAAUGGGCGCAAGCCUGAUGCAGCGACGCCGCGUGGGGGAUGACGGCCUUCGGGUUGUAAACUCCUUUCAGCCAUGACGAAGCCCUUGUGGUGACGGUAGUGGUAGAAGAAGCACCGGCUAACUACGUG